UACGUAGGGGGCGAGCGUUGUCCGAAGUUACUGGGCGUAAAGCGCGCGUAGGCGGUUUCUUAAGUCUGGGGUGAAAGGUUCAGCGCUCAACGCGAACAGUGCCUUGGAUACUGGGAGACUUGAGUCUGGGAGGGGGCAGUGGAAUUCCUGGUGUAGCGGUGAAAUGCGUAGAUAUCAGGAGGAACACCAAUGGCGAAGGCAGCUCUCUGGUACAUGAUUGACGCUGAGACGCGAAAGCGUGGGGAGCGAACAGG
rnacentral:rRNA from 1 species